rnacentral:lncRNA from 1 species
CAAACACGGGCCUCGGGGCAGCAGUUCUGGUGAAGGGGAAAGGAGAAGCCCCAGAAAGCUUCAUGGUCACGCCACGUAUGGGAUGCUCGGCAGCUGCCCUGGCUGGGAUCUAACAACAGGAAGCCAGCGGACCUCACGGGGCCAUUCCCAGGCUUAGAUUGAAGGGAGUAAGUUGGGGAGUUGAGGGUAAAAGGAGCAGCAGUGAGGGUAGGAGACCUUGUCAGACUAUAGUCUAGGAUUUGCAGAGGAAGAUAUUUGAGGGGCAGCACUCUCUUUAGUAGUUUGCAAAAUGCAGGGGUAAGAGAAAAUUACCCUCUGCCUGGAAUAACUAAGGAGUUUUGAGACGGAAUCUCACUCUGUCAUGCAGGCUUGAGUGAAGUGGCGUGAUCUCGGCUCACUGCAACCUCCGCCUCCUGGGUUCAAGUGAUUCUCCUGCCUCAACUUCCCAAGUAGCUGGGAUUACAGGCACCCAUCACCACAUUGGGCUAAUUUUUGUAUUUUUAGUAGAGACAAGUUUUCACCAUGUUGGCCAGACUGGUCUCGAACUCCUGACCUUAGGCAAUCCGCCCACCUCAGCCUCCGAAAAUGCUGGGAUUACAGAAGUGAGCCACCGCACCUGGCCCAAGGAUUCCUAUUUGGAUUGAAUAUCAAGGCUUGCUAGGAAAGACAGCCAACAAGUCACCAAGUUAAUAGAAGGACAAUGAUGCUUCCUUUUUCUCCUCAAAAUCUUCCUUCGCUACUAAAAGAUCUAAGUUCGGGAAAACAAUUGGUACAGGAUGUGCAGCUUGAAGAAGCUGAGGGGAUGAGUAUACUAAAUAUGCCACACUGUCUGCACCAUGCCAGGUAGUCUAGUAUGUAUUGGGUUCCAUUGAGACUGAUGCUGCAUUGAAUUCUGAUGAUACAGUUCGCUGCGCUUGUCCACUCUGGUCUGUAGGAGAAUUGCCACAGUCUUAUGAAUAUAAGGCUGGGUUUGGAGGGGGUCAGUUGAAAUUUUAGGAGUUUUCAUAUGACUCUUACUCUUUCAGAUUUGCUAUCUGCAAUUGCACAUCUGCCAGUGACCUCUGUCUGUUACUGAAGAAGGCUGCUGGCUUCUUUGCUGUAUAUCCUGAUCACGCUGACUUCCUUCUGCAACUUCUAGAUAAGUAAAUUUUUUUGAUUUAUCAGGAAGUGUCUUUGGUCUCUCAGUCAAUUCGAUUCUACUACUGACAUUUAUCAACAUGGUGGGUGUGAUAUCUUUUAAUCUAAUGAGCUAUAUAACUGCAUUUUCUUUUUGUUGUUG